rnacentral:rRNA from 1 species
GAUGAACGCUGGCGGCGUGCCUAAUACAUGCAAGUCGAGCGAACAGACGAGGAGCUUGCUCCUCUGACGUUAGCGGCGGACGGGUGAGUAACACGUGGAUAACCUACCUAUAAGACUGGGAUAACUUCGGGAAACCGGAGCUAAUACCGGAGAAUAUAUUGAACCGCAUGGUUCAAUAGUGAAAGACGGUUUUGCUGUCACUUAUAGAUGGAUCCGCGCCGCAUUAGCUAGUUGGUAAGGUAACGGCUUACCAAGGCAACGAUGCGUAGCCGACCUGAGAGGAUGAUCGGCCACACUGGAACUGAGACACGGUCCAGACUCCUACGGGAGGCAGCAGUAGGGAAUCUUCCGCAAUGGGCGAAAGCCUGACGGAGCAACGCCGCGUGAGUGAAGAAGGUCUUCGGAUCGUAAAACCCUGUUAUUAGGGAAGAACAACUGCGUAAGAAUCUAUGCACGUCUUGACGGUACCUAAUCAGAAAGCCACGGCUAACUUCGUG